rnacentral:rRNA from 1 species
AGAGUUUGAUCCUGGCUCAGAAUCAACGCUGGCGGCGCGCUUAACACAUGCAAGUCGAACGAGAGAGGGGAGCACUCCCUGAGUAAAGUGGCGUACGGGUGAGUAACACGUGGGUAAUCUACCUUCUGGUGGGGAAUAACGCUGGGAAACCGGCGCUAAUACCGCAUGAGCCUGAAGAGGGAAAAAAGAAAUCUGCCGGAAGAGGACCCCGCGGCUGAUUAGCUAGUUGGUGAGGUAAAGGCUCACCAAGGCAAUGAUCGGUAGCCGGCCUGAGAGGGCACACGGCCACACUGGCACUGAAACACGGGCCACACUCCUACGGGAGGCAGCAGUGGGGAAUCUUGCACAAUGGGGGAAACCCUGAUGCACCCACGCCGCGUGAGUGAUGAACCCCUUCGGGGUGUAAAGCUCUUUCGGCAGGGACGAUAAUGACGGUACCUGAAAAAGAAGCUGCGGCUAACUACGUGCCAGCAGCCGCGGUAAUACGUAGGCAGCGAGCGUUGUUCGGAGUUACUGGGCGUAAAGAGUGCGUAGGCUGUUUUCUAAGUUGUGGUGUGAAAUCUCCCGGCUCAACUGGGAGGGUGCGCCAAAGACUGGGAGGCUAGAGGUAUGGGGAGAGGUAAGCGGAUCUCCUGGUGGUAGCGGUGAAAUGCAUAUAUAUCAGAGAAGAACACCUGCGGGUGUAGACUGCUUACUGGACCAUAACUGACGCUGAGGCACGAGAGCG